UCAUAAACGAAAAGCCAGAUAGCAUCAAUUGGACGCACAGCAACCAACUAACAACAAGAGAGGUUUACGCAUCGAAGUAUAAUCUUCCUGUGCAUUCAUCAGUUCCAGUUCCAGUGAAGACGGCUCUUGUCAACGAUGACCACGUUGAAGCUGACUUCUUUGAACGCAACUAAGGAUUUAUACGAUAUACAUAAAUGACUGUAGUCGAGCAUUAAAAUCAUCCGUCGAAAACAGAAAAGAAUCAUUGCCCAAAAAUAUUUCUUCCCAUGACGUUACCAGUGCAAAGACAGACGACAUCUUCACCAAUCUGACAGUAUAUUAUGCCAAUGAAAAGCAAGAGAAAAAAAAA